GAUGAACGCUGGCGGCGUGCCUAAUACAUGCAAGUCGAGCGAACAGACGAGAGUGCUUGCCCUCUCUGACGUUAGCGGCGGACGGGUGAGUAACACGUGGGUAACCUACCUAUAAGACUGGGAUAACUUCGGGAAACCGGAGCUAAUACCGGAUAAUAUUUAGCUUCGCAUGAAGCAAUAGUGAAAGACGGUUCUGCUGUCACUUAUAGAUGGACCCGCGGUGUAUUAGCUAGUUGGUGAGGUAACGGCUCACCAAGGCAACGAUACAUAGCCGACCUGAGAGGGUGAUCGGCCACACUGGGACUGAGACACGGCCCAGACUCCUACGGGAGGCAGCAGUAGGGAAUCUUCCGCAAUGGACGAAAGUCUGACGGAGCAAUGCCGCGUGAGUGAAGAAGGUUUUCGGAUCGUAAAACUCUGUUGUAAGGGAAGAAUAAGUACGUUAGUAACUGAACGUACCUUGACGGUACCUUACCAGAAAGCCACGGCUAACUACGUG
rnacentral:rRNA from 1 species